rnacentral:rRNA from 1 species
UAGGGAAUCUUCCGCAAUGGACGAAAGUCUGACGGAGCAACGCCGCGUGAGUGAAGAAGGAUUUCGGUUCGUAAAACUCUGUUGUUAGGGAAGAAAAAAUGUAUAGUAACUAUAUAGAAAAGAGACGGUACCUAACCAGAAAGCCACGGCUAACUACGUGCCAGCAGCCGCGGUAAUACGUAGGUGGCAAGCGUUGUCCGGAAUUAUUGGGCGUAAAGCGCGCGCAGGUGGUUUAGAAAGUCUGAUGUGAAAGCCCACGGCUCAACCGUGGAGGGUCAUUGGAAACUAAUAAACUUGAGUGCAGGAGAGAAAAGUGGAAUUCCUAGUGUAGCGGUGAAAUGCGUAGAGAUUAGGAGGAACACCGGUGGCGAAAGCGGCUUUUUGGCCUGCAACUGACACUGAGGCGCGAAAGCGUGGGGAGCAAACAGG